UACGAGGGGUGCGAGCGUUGUUCGGAAUUAUUGGGCGUAAAGGGUGCGUAGGCGGUUCCGCAAGUCCUGUGUGAAAUCUUCGGGCUCAACUCGAAGUCUGCACGGGAAACUGCGGGGCUUGAGUGUGGGAGAGGUGAGUGGAAUUCCCGGUGUAGCGGUGAAAUGCGUAGAUAUCGGAAGGAACACCUGUGGCGAAAGCGGCUCACUGGACCAUAACUGACGCUGAUGCACGAAAGCUGGGGGAGCAAACAGG
rnacentral:rRNA from 1 species